rnacentral:tRNA from 1 species
GAAAUGGUGGUUCAGUGGUAGGAUUCUCACCUUCCAUGUGGGAUACCCUGGUUCAAUUCCCAGUCAAUGCA